CGCGUUACUCGGGUACUUUAGGCU
rnacentral:miRNA from 1 species